rnacentral:rRNA from 1 species
GGAAUAUUGGACAAUGGGGGAAACCCUGAUCCAGCCAUGCCGCGUGGAUGAUGAAGGCCUUAGGGUUGUAAAGUCCUUUUAACGGGGAAGAUAAUGACGGUACCCGUAGAAUAAGCCCCGGCUAACUUCGUGCCAGCAGCCGCGGUAAUACGAAGGGGGCUAGCGUUGCUCGGAAUCACUGGGCGUAAAGCGCACGUAGGCGGAUUCUUAAGUCGGGGGUGAAAUCCUGGAGCUCAACUCCAGAACUGCCUUCGAUACUGGGAAUCUUGAGUCCGGGAGAGGUGAGUGGAACUGCGAGUGUAGAGGUGAAAUUCGUAGAUAUUCGCAAGAACACCAGUGGCGAAGGCGGCUCACUGGCCCGGUACUGACGCUGAGGUGCGAAAGCGUGGGGAGCAAA